UUAGGAAUAUUGCGCAAUGGGAGCAAUCCUGACGCAGCGACGCCGCGUGAGGGAUGAAGGCCUUCGGGUCGUAAACCUCUUUUAGCUGGGAAAAAUAAAUUGAUGGUACCGGCAGAAAAAGCACCGGCGAACUCUGUGCCAGCAGCCGCGGUGAUACAGAGGGUGCUAGCGUUAUUCGGAUUCACUGGGCGUAAAGGGUGCGUAGGCGGUUUAGUAAGUCUGAUGUGAAAUCCCUGGGCUCAAUCCAGGAAGUGCAUCAGAUACUAUUAAACUAGAGUGCGGGAGAGGAGAAUGGAAUUCCUGGUGUAGAGGUAAAAUUCGUAGAUAUCAGGAGGAACAACAGAGGCGAAGGCGAUUCUCUGGACCGCAACUGACGCUGAGGCACGAAAGCGCGGGGAUCAAACAGG
rnacentral:rRNA from 1 species